rnacentral:rRNA from 1 species
UACGUAGGGGGCAAGCGUUGUCCGGAUUUAUUGGGCGUAAAGAGCGUGUAGGCGGCCAGGUAGGUCCGUUGUGAAAACUGGAGGCUUAACCUCCAGCUGUCGAUGGAAACCAUCUGGCUAGAGUCCGGAAGAGGAGAGUGGAAUUCCUGGUGUAGCGGUGAAAUGCGCAGAUAUCAGGAGGAACACCGAUGGCGAAGGCAGGUCUCUGGGCCACUACUGACGCUGAGAAGCGAAAGCAUGGGGAGCGAACAGG